AAUUCAUCCCUAUGCCUAUACGAGUUGAUGUCAGGUCAGGUGGAACCCUGAACUCCAUAGUUCUUUUGGAAUGAACACACCACGCGGAACGGGUCUACCUGGCUUCGGAUACCACUUCCCCUCUGGAUCGCUAGACCACGGACCUGAGAGGCGAAUCCCUUGAAUUCUCUCAACCUCGUGAUCGUAGUUCCCAAUUUUCUGACUAUGAAACGGUCUCUGUCAGCCUUACCAGCUGUCCGAGAUGAGCGUCCAAACCGAAUCGAUCUUUUUGCCCCCCUCAGCUAUCCCUUCCCGUCUUCGUUUAGCAGCGAACUCAAGGAUGGCCUUUAUGUAUGAGCCGAAAAGGAGGUAUCCAUAGAUACCAACCAAACUAGCUAGUCAGGGAAGGUAGGUAAGUAAGAGGCGGAUCUAGGGAGUCUUUACUUCUUCGACUUCUUAUUCAUAGUUGAUCCCAACCUCCACCAGCAAGCAACACCGGAGUGAAUCGUA
rnacentral:lncRNA from 1 species